AGAGUUUGAUCCUGGCUCAGGACGAACGCUGGCGGCGUGCUUAACACAUGCAAGUCGAACGAUGAUGCCCUGCUUGCAGGGUGGAUUAGUGGCGAACGGGUGAGUAACACGUGGGUGAUCUGCCCCGCACUUCGGGAUAAGCCUGGGAAACUGGGUCUAAUACCGGAUACGACCCCCUGGUAGGUCAGGGGGUGGAAAGAUUUAUCGGUGUGGGAUGAGCCUGCGGCCUAUCAGCUUGUUGGUGGGGUAAUGGCCUACCAAGGCGUCGACGGGUAGCCGGCCUGAGAGGGUGAUCGGCCACAUUGGGACUGAGACACGGCCCAGACUCCUACGGGAGGCAGCAGUGGGGAAUAUUGCACAAUGGGCGCAAGCCUGAUGCAGCGACGCCGCGUGGGGGAUGACGGCCUUCGGGUUGUAAACUCCUUUCGACAGGGACGAAGCGUUAUAGUGACGGUACCUGUAGAAGAAGCACCGGCUAACUACGUGCCAGCAGCCGCGGUAAUACGUAGGGUGCGAGCGUUGUCCGGAAUUACUGGGCGUAAAGAGCUCGUAGGUGGUUUGUCGCGUCGUCUGUGAAAUCCCGGGGCUUAACCUCGGGCGUGCAGGCGAUACGGGCAUAACUUGAGUGCUGUAGGGGAGACUGGAAUUCCUGGUGUAGCGGUGAAAUGCGCAGAUAUCAGGAGGAACACCAAUGGCGAAGGCAGGUCUCUGGGCAGUAACUGACGCUGAGGAGCGAAAGCAUGGGUAGCGAACAGGAUUAGAUACCCUGGUAGUCC
rnacentral:rRNA from 1 species